rnacentral:rRNA from 1 species
CGUAGGGAACCUGCCCAUGCGGCCCGGGACAACUUCCGGAAACGGAUGCUGAUACCGGAUAAGGAAAGCGAAGGCAUCUUUGCUUUGUUAAAGGAGCUGCAAGGCUCCGCGCAUGGAUGGACCUGCGGUGCAUUAGCUGGUUGGUGAGGUAAAGGCUCACCAAGGCGACGAUGCAUAGCCGGCCUGAGAGGGCGAACGGCCACACUGGGACUGAGACACGGCCCAGACUCCUACGGGAGGCAGCAG